UACAACUUAGGCUAAUAGGGCGGUCGGCUAAUCUCCCGAAAGGGAGGUGAUGCCUGUGGAGGUCAAAGACGCAUUGAUGCUAAUGUUAGCGUUUGGAUCAUUGCUUAUCGCAUUGAUCGGGCUUGUCGUUACAAUAUCUAUUGCGCUUAAUCAACACAAAAAGAAAUAGACCGCCCGCCCAAGGGAUAGGGUCUAUUUCUGAUCGCUUUCUCACAGCCGGCCGCUCUUUUAGCGGUGUUGUGCAGGGACCGGUUGCCGCCGGUCCU
rnacentral:sRNA from 1 species